rnacentral:lncRNA from 1 species
GACUUCCAGUUCCGGGUUCCGCUGAUCAGAAGCGGACAAGCAAACAGCGGAUGUGCAGUUCCUCUCUUCGCCGAACCCGGUUUUCCCUUUCGGAGCAGCGCGACCGAUUUCCGGUUUCCCCGCCGCAACCACCGUUACCCCCCCCCCGCCCCAAUCCCCGGCGACUCCAGCGACGUCACCGGUUCAGCUCCUGACCUUUCGGCGAACCGCAGAACCACAGGCGACCCGUUCGACGUCAUCACUCCCCGCCCAGAUGUCGCUGUGACAUCACCCCGCACGUGCCUGCGCUGGCACCGCGUCGUCCUGGCGAGCGCCUCCUCGCGGCGGAAGGAGAUCCUGGGGUUCGCUGUGCGAGACAUGUCGGCGGGGUUUCACGUGAGUGACACUUGGUCCCCACGGGAUUGACAGCGACUAGCGGAGUGGCAUGUGGACGUAGCUUCAGGUGACCUCACUGACCCCGCCCCUGACUCCACCCCUUGUGAUGACCCCACCACUGACCCACAGGCCUUGGAGGGGCUGAUCCUGGAGAAGUCAAAGGACCAGGAGGACGCCAUGGGGGGUGCUGUACAGGCUGAGCAGGAAGCAGAGCAGCACAGCGUCAUCAUGAGGGUAGCCAUCUUCACCUGGGGCAUCCACGGAGGCCCUGCCCAGGAAGUGACUUUCUCUCUACUGUAGGAGGAGCUGAUCCACGACUACUUGGACAACAGCACACCAGCGAAGGAUGGGACAAGGCCUGGGGCCUCCGCCAUCCAUGCGUGGGGAGUGAUGCUGGUAGAGGGCAAAUUGGUGACGUCAUCAAUGCAGCGGGCUUCCCACUCAACCACUUUAGCCGCAAGCUUGCAAGGGCAGCUGCCAGAGACAGGAAGUGACAUCGCUGUGGAGAGGGCAGCAGGAAGUGAGGUCAGAGUGGGGGUGAUGGGAAGUAAUGUCAUGGGCUCAGGAAGUGAUGUGCUGCUGCUCUACAUGUGUACGUAUAUGCCUGGUCUGUGAUGCUGCAGAAUAUGUGUACAUGUGUGCUGGGUGUGGGAUGUACAUGUAUGCCUCAUGUUUGCCUGGUGUGUGAUGCCACUUUACAUGUGAUCCAGGUGUGAGAUGAUGCUGUACAUGUAUACAUGUGUACCUGGUGUGUGAUGCCAGUGCAUUGUGACUGGUGUGUGAUGCGGAUGCACAUGUGUGCUUGUUGUGUGAAGCUACUUCACAUGUACACAUGUGUGCCAGGUGAGUGAUGCUGUUUCCCCUGUGUAUAUGUAUGCCUGUUGUCUGAUGCUGCUUCACAUGUGUUCAUAUGCGUCUGUUGGGGGAUGCCGCUGGAUAUGUCUACCUUGUUUUUAAACUACAUUACAUGUGUGACCAGUGUUUGAUGCGACUCUACAUGUGUACACGUGUGCCUUGUGUAUGAUGCUGCUGCAAAUGUGUACACGUAUGUCUCGUGUGUGCUGCUGCAGCACAUGUAUACAUGUGUGCCUGAGUGUGCUGCUGCUGUACAUGUGAACAUGUGUGCCUUGUAUGUGAGGCUGCUGCACAUGUGUAUAUGUGUGCCUGGUAUCUGAGCUUGCUGUACGUGUGUACAUAUGUGGCUGGUGUGUGAUGACAGUGUACAUGUGUCCAUGUGUACCUGGUGUGUGUUGCUGCUGCCAUGUGCACAUGUGUGCCUGUUGUGUCAUGCUGCUGUGCAUGUGUACAUGUGUGCCUGAGUGUGCUGCUGCACAUGUGUACAUGUGUGCCUGGUAUGUGAUGUUGCUGCACAUGUGUUCAUGUUUGCUUGGUCUGUGAUGCCUCUGUACAUGUGUGCCUGUUGUAUGAUGCCACUUUCCAUGUGUAUGUGAUACCACUGUACAUGUGUGCUUGGUGUGUGAUUCUGCUGCACAUGUGUACAUACAUGUCUUGUGUGUGAUUUUGCUGCAUAUGUGUACAUGUGUGCCUUUUGUUUGAUGCUGCUAUACAUGUGGGCCUGGUGUGUGAUGCCACUUUACAGGUGUGCCGGGUGUGUGAUGUGACUGUAUAUGUGUCCAUGUAUGCCUGGUGUGUGAUUCUGAUGCACAUGUGUACAUUUGUGCCUGGUGUGUGCUGCUUCUGCAAAUGUGUACUUGUGAGCCUGGUGUGUGAUUCCAUUGUACAUGUGUUUGUGAUGCUUCUGCACCUGUGUUCCUGGUGUGUGAUGCUGCUUCACAUGUGUACAUGUGUGUCAUGUGUGUGAUGACAGUUUCCAUGUGUCCAUGUGUGUGUGUGUGUGAGGCUGCUGGACAUGUGUACAAGUGUGACUGGAGUGUGUAGCUGCAGCACAUGUGUACAUGUGUGUUUGUUGUGUGAUGCCUCUCUACAUGUGUACAUGUGAGCCUGUUGUGUGAUGCUGCUACACAUGUGUACAUGUUUGCCUGAUGUUUGAUGCUGCUGUUCAUGUGUGCCUGUCCUGUGUUGCCACUUUAUGUGUGCUCAGUGUGUUGACAUUAUACUUGUGUACAUGUGGGCCUGGUGUGUGCUGCUGCUGCACAUGCAUACAUGUGUGUCUGGUGUGUAAGGCUGCUGUUUAUGCGUACAUGUGUGCCUGAUAUCUAAAGCUGCUGCAGAUGUGUACAUGUGUGCCUGGUGUGAGAUGCCACUAUACAUCUGUACCUGCUAUGUGAUGCCAUAGCAGGUACAUGUGUGCUUGUUGUGUGUUGCUGCUGCACAGUUUUUCAUGUAUGCUGCUGCUGUACAUGUGUACAUGUGUGCCAGUUGUGUGAUGGUGCUGCACAUGUGUAUGUAUAUAAGGUGUGUGAUGCUGCUAUACAUUUGUGCCUGGUGUAUGAUGCCACUAUACAUGUGUAAAUUGUGUGCCUGGUGUGUGACGCUGCUGCACAUGUGUGCCGUGUGUGUGACAACAGUGUACAUAUUUUCAUGUGUACCUGGUGUGUGAUUCUGCUACAUAUGUGUACUAGUGUGACUGGUGUGUAUUGUUGCUGCACAUGUAUUUUAACUGUCUUUUUACAAGGAAAACAAGACAGUUUCGCCCAAUAGAUGUGAAUUUCUAAAUACAUUUAAAAGGUCUUUUUUGAAUGUUAUUUCCUUUAGUGGGCUACACUGUAAGUCAUUACUUUGAUGUAUUUUCAUAUGCACGUCUUAAAUAUAACUGUACAAUGCGAUAAAGUACCAAAAAUUGUUUUAACACAGACCCUGCAAUAAAAAGAGUUAAUCAUGAAUGUCAAGAGUGUUAAUUUUAGUGUUCACAUGUAUUUAUUUAUUAGACAUAUUAUACUAUAACUGUCUUUUUCCAUAGAAUACAAGACAGUUUUACUCAAUAAAUGAGAAUUUCUAAAUGUGAUAA